CGUAGGCAGCGAGCGUUGUUCGGAGUUACUGGGCGUAAAGGGUGUGUAGGCGGUUGUUUAAGUUUGGUGUGAAAUCUCCCGGCUCAACUGGGAGGGUGCGCCGAAUACUGAAUGACUUGGAGUGCGGGAGAGGUGAGUGGAAUUCCUGGUGUAGCGGUGAAAUGCGUAGAUAUCAGGAGGAACACCGGUGGUGUAGACGGCUCACUGGACCGUAACUGACGCUGAGACACGAAAGCGUGGGUAGCAAACAGGAUUAGAUACCCUGGUAGUCCACGCCCUAAACGAUGCAUAUUUGGUGUGGGCAGUUCAUUCUGUCCGUGCCGGAGCUAAACGCGUUAAAUAUGCCGCCUGGGGAGUACAGUCGCAAGGCUG
rnacentral:rRNA from 1 species